UAUAUUUGCGCCAUUCGGAACCAAAUUCGGCUAAACAAAUCUCAAACGACCUCAUUUCGCUUUGCCUCAUUUGCAAAUACGACCUCGUUUCCUUCGUUUGCUCUCGCUCUCUCUCUCCCAGUAAUCUCGAGAGCCUUUUUUCUUGUGUGGAUAAAUAAUAGAACAAGAAAUGAACAAGUCGGCCUUCCUCCCUUCCCAUUUUGUUUACUUUCAUUGAAUUAGAAGAAAGGGGGAAGGAGAAGAGUGGAAGGUGGUGGAUUGAAGAACUCGUUUCGGGAAAAGGAAAUAGGUCGCAGAGAUUGUGAGCAAACGGGGAGAAAAAAAAGGAAAUGCCCCCGGAAGUGUGCACACUCCAAAACACAAAACCAUCGAAAUCCGUCUCUCGCACAACACGCCUACAACACACACACACACAGACACAUAAGAUUGGACACUUUGUUGGCACAUUCAAUUCGUAUGUAUGGAAGAAAUGUAACAUUUCUCUAACGCGGGUUCUCUCGCUCUAACGAAAAACAGCCCCACAAAAAGCAAUCGAGGGUAAGUUUCGAUGGGAAAAAGUAUAAUGACUACAUUAGGAACGACAUUUUCCAUUUUUUUCUCUUCAUCCCACUAACAGAACCAAUUCAUUUGCAGGCUUUCUUCUUUCUUUCCUUAUCAAAACGCAAAACUUUACGCCUAAUUGCUCGUCUAAACACCAACGGUCGACAAGAGUGUUCAUCGGGCUGCCUAUUAUGGUGCAUAUCAAUCAAAUGGCGAUGACGGUAAUUGGUGACUCCUACACACGGAUGAUAGAGAAAGAAGGGUUGUAGUGAUGCUGGUUGUAGUGAUUUGCGGUUUCUUCCAUUCAUUGCACUCCCUAGAUCCUCCACAGCUGCUGUCGAUUGCAGAGUUUGAAUGAGCCAAAGCGCAUUGUUGGGAAUAGAGCGAACAGAAAACGUUCAAUUAAUAUGCUCAACACGCCAGUCAGUCCGAUUUCGCAAAUCUAAAUCAAUACAGGGUAUUCCAGGGGUUCUCAUAGUUGUGGGACACUUCUUUGACUCUUUCAUUUGAGAAGUGAACUUCAUAUGAUGGAAAUUGGACUCAAUGGUAUCCUUUUUAGACAGGUUCCUUGGAAAUUCCUAUUAGAUACGUUUAACAAGGGUGCUGUAGAGUCCAAUUCCCAUUAGAUUAAGUUCAUUUAACGCAAGAAGGAGUCAAUAAAGUGUCCCACAGCUAUGAUAACUCCUGGAAAACCCUGUACAUCAAUACAAGUAUACAGACACAAGCCUUAAUCAAA